GAGUUUGAUCGUGGCUCAGAUUGAACGCUGGCGGCAGGCCUAACACAUGCAAGUCGAGCGGAUGAAGGGAGCUUGCUCCUGGAUUCAGCGGUGGACGGGUGAGUAAUGCCUAGGAAUCUGCCUGGUAGUGGGGGAUAACGUCCGGAAACGGGCGCUAAUACCGCAUACGUCCUGAGGGGAGAAAGUGGGGGAUCUUCGGACCUCACGCUAUCAGAUGAGCCUAGGUCGGAUUAGCCAGUUGGUGGGGUAAAGGCCUACCAAGGCGACGAUCCGUAACUGGUCUGAGAGGAUGAUCAGUCACACUGGAACUGAGACACGGUCCAGACUCCUACGGGAGGCAGCAGUGGGGAAUAUUGGACAAUGGGCGAAAGCCUGAUCCAGCCAUGCCGCGUGUGUGAAGAAGGUCUUCGGAUUGUAAAGCACUUUAAGUUGGGAGGAAGGGCAGUAAGUUAAUACCUUGCUGUUUUGACGUUUACCAACAGAAUAAGCACCGGCUAACUUCGUGCCAGCCGCCGCGGUAAUACCG
rnacentral:rRNA from 1 species